rnacentral:rRNA from 1 species
UGGGGAAUUUUGGACAAUGGGCGAAAGCCUGAUCCAGCAAUGCCGCGUGUGUGAAGAAGGCCUUCGGGUUGUAAAGCACUUUUGUCCGGAAAGAAAUCCUUGGCUCUAAUACAGUCGGGGGAUGACGGUACCGGAAGAAUAAGCACCGGCUAACUACGUGCCAGCAGCCGCGGUAAUACGUAGGGUGCAAGCGUUAAUCGGAAUUACUGGGCGUAAAGCGUGCGCAGGCGGUUUGCUAAGACCGAUGUGAAAUCCCCGGGCUCAACCUGGGAACUGCAUUGGUGACUGGCAGGCUAGAGUAUGGCAGAGGGGGGUAGAAUUCCACGUGUAGCAGUGAAAAUGCGUAGAGAUGUGGAGGAAUACCGAUGGCGAAGGCAGCCCCCUGGGCCAAUACUGACGCUCAUGCACGAAAGCGUGGGGAGCAAACAGGAUUAGAUACCCUGGUAGUCCACGCCCUAAACGAUGUCAACUAGUUGUUGGGGAUUCAUUUCCUUAGUAACGUAGCUAACGCGUGAAGUUGACCGCCUGGGGAGUACGGUCGCAAGAUUAAAACUCAAAUGGAAUUGACGGGGUCAUAGCUGUUUCC